AGUGAACGCUGGCGGUAGGCCUAACACAUGCAAGUCGAACGGCAGCACAGUAAGAGCUUGCUCUUACGGGUGGCGAGUGGCGGACGGGUGAGGAAUACAUCGGAAUCUACUUUUUCGUGGGGGAUAACGUAGGGAAACUUCCGCUAAUACCGCAUACGACCUACGGGUGAAAGCAGGGGAUCUUCGGACCUUGCGCGAUUGAAUGAGCCGAUGUCGGAUUAGCUAGUUGGCGGGGUAAAGGCCCACCAAGGCGACGAUCCGUAGCUGGUCUGAGAGGAUGAUCAGCCACACUGGAACGGAGACACGGUCCAGAAUCCUACGGGAGGAAGCAGUGGGGAAUAUUGGACAAUGGGCGCAAGCCUGAUCCAGCCAUACCGCGUGGGUGAAGAAGGCCUUCGGGUUGUAAAGCCCUUUUGUUGGGAAAGAAAAGCAGCAGGUUAAUACCCCGCUGUUCUGACGGUACCCAAAGAAUAAGCACCGGCUAACUUCGUG
rnacentral:rRNA from 1 species